AGCUAAGAAGAGCUGAAAUGGUUGAACGGGUUGACAGUAAUGAUGAUUCUGUUCUUCUGUAUCUGAAAGAGGUACCCAGAAUGAGCCCUCUGUCCUACAGCCUAGUACUCGUACAGCAGCUGGAGAUUGGGAACCUCAAGCCAGCAACUAUCAGGAUAUAUGACUACUACCAGCCCAAUGAGGAGACAACUGUUACAUAUUCUUCUGGCUGCAAGUGACAUUCCCGUUCAUUAACGGGGGUAGCUAAUGAAGGUGCAUGACUGAGUCAUUGCCUCCACCAUGAUUUAAAUAUAAUAAAGCAAUCAAACAUU